GUGUCAGCAGCCGCGGUAAGACAGAGGGUGCAAACGUUGUUCGGAAUUACUGGGCGUAAAGCGCGCGUAGGCAGCAGCGUGUGUCGGGCGUGAAAUCCCACGGCUCAACCGUGGAAGUGCACUCGAAACUGCGCAGCUAGAGUCUCGGAGAGGAAGGCGGAAUGCUUGGUGUAGAGGUGAAAUUCGUAGAUAUCAAGCGGAACACCGGUGGCGAAGGCGGCCUUCUGGACGAUGACUGACGCUGAAGCGCGAAAGCGUGGGGAGCAAACAGGAUUAGAUACCCCCGUAGUCC
rnacentral:rRNA from 1 species